AGUAUUCCCUAAUAUUUGGGAUAAAAGAAUAACAGUCUACUAGUUGUUUCUCUGUUCCAGUUUUCUUAUCAUGGAUUAGGAAUGUUCAAUCUUUUUUUACUAUGCGAGUUACUCUUCUGUAUUAAGUUAUUUGAUGAUCUACUUACUCCCUUAUAUAGAUUAUAUUUCUUCAACCUGAUAUCUGAGUGGCUGGAUGGCCAAGUGAUAACACAGUUGGCAUGCCAUGCAGGAGGAUAUGGUGUGAAAAGGUUAACUCUGACCUAUCCUAUUUAUUAUUUUAUUAUGCUCUUAUUAUUUUGUUGUUAUAUUCAUUAUUAU
rnacentral:lncRNA from 1 species